CAAUAUGCUUAAUGCAACUGGGGUAAAGAAGGUGACAUGCGUAUAUAUAGGGUUCAAAUGACUUGAAUCUCAGACUUCAGUAAGACUAUGAGCUGGUGGCGAGUUCUGUUUGAAAGGGGAACCAUUGGAAAAUAGUGCUGCUAGACUAUGGAUGCCUCAGAUCUUGAAAAUGUCACAAUUGAAGUGAAAAAUCAAAGUGAAGCUGCAGCCUGUGAACUAAAAGAGAAUGUUGCGGAUGAUCAUUGGUGCAGGAGGGAUAUAAU
rnacentral:lncRNA from 1 species